rnacentral:rRNA from 1 species
UACGUAGGUGACAAGCGUUGUCCGGAUUUACUGGGCGUAAAGAGCGCGCAGGCGGUCGAUCAAGUCGAGUGUGAAAGCCCCCGGCUCAACUGGGGAGGGUCAUUCGAAACUGGUCGACUCGAAGGCAGGAGAGGGUAGUGGAAUUCCCGGUGUAGUGGUGAAAUGCGUAGAUAUCGGGAGGAACACCAGUGGCGAAGGCGACUACCUGGCCUGUUCUUGACGCUGAGGCGCGAAAGCUAGGGAGCAAACGGG